rnacentral:lncRNA from 1 species
UUUUUUUUUUUCUAUAUGUUACAAUGACAGUUGUGUCAACUAUGGGUUUGUAUUAGAGCUGAUUGAUAUUUAUUACACUGUAAAAAACAACAUAAAAUUAAUUACUUUUGAAUAAAUAAAAUAGGUUGCAUGAAUUUUAAAAAAAAUUGGAUUGUGAUUUAUAUGGAGAUUCAAUUAAAAAAUCUACUUCAAAACGUAUAUAAAUUUAACAAUCUAAAAACGUAAAAAUAAAAUUUAUUUAUUUUUAUAUUUUUAUUAAUAAUAUUUAUAUUAAUAUUUGAAUUAUUUCAAAGAAUAAAAAUUGAGUUAUAUUGAACUUUAACAGCUAAUUUUUUAAAACUUAAAAUACUAAUACUGUACUUAAACUUAUAUGAACUAUUUUUGAACAUAUUUUGUCAGAAAAAAAUUAAAUCCUUAAAUUAUAUAUAUAUAUAUAUAUAUAUAUAUAGACCUAAGCUUAAAUCUGAGAAAUAUUUUGACUGGUUCAAAAGUGAAAUUAAACAUGAUUGUGAUAUAUGCACAGGAUUGAAAUAAACUAUGAAACUCAAAAUUUAACUUACACGCAAGUGCACAAGAUACAUGUUGAAUCCGAAAAUAACUUUUGUUGGAAAAAAACGUAGAAACUUAUUGCAUUUUCACAAACAAAACAAAUCUGUGUACAUGAAUUAUAAUGAUAAAAUAUAAAUUUUCUCAUGUUUUUUUUUCUUAUUUAUUUUUCACGAAAAAUAAAUAAAUAAAUACAUAUUCUUUUCUUUUCACCUUCACUCCCUUCUUUUUAAAGAAUUUUAUAAUCCUUUUGUAAAUGUGUGUGCAAAUAAAAGGGUGUAUGAAGAGGUGUUUUCAAGUUACUUUUGUGGUGAUGGCGAUUUACAAUUAAAUCAAAUACAAGCACUUCUUUGGUGAAAAUUUCAAAACCCAUGCACCAAACACACACUUUUGGUUGCCACAGGAAAUUCCUCACGUGAUCAAAACAGCAAAGUGGCACACAGAAACAUGAAGAGAGAAAAGAAGCCAUUUUAAUUCAAAUCCCCAACUCAGAAAGGAAAGAGAAAGCGGAAAGAAGUAAAGGAAGUAAUGAAGAAUGAUAGAAAGAGGGAUGGAUACAGUCAGAAGAGAGAGAGACAUGAAAAAGCACACUCAGUGAGUGAGACUAUUAUUAAAAUAAUAAUAUCAAAUAAUAAAACAUUCAAAGUAGCCACAGUGACUGACCCCAUUGGGUCUCCAAUAUUUCCCCUUCAUGGCCUGUAGUAAUUGAUGGAACUUGUCAACAAAUAUGAAGCAUUUCUGGCAUGGGAAUAGACCAAGUGACUCUACUGUAAGUCCACCAUCCCAUCAGCGUUCUACUUCUUCUUCCUCUUCUUCUUCUUAUUAUUAUUAUUGUUUUUGUAUAUAACUUAAAUUGUGUAUAUACACACAAAAAAUCCUCUCUCUCUCUCUCUUUAGAUAUAUAUACAAAGAUAUUUAUUACAAAGAUAUUUCAUUAUAUAUAUAUAUAUAUAUAUAUAUGUCUGUCUGUCUGUCUGUCUGCAGUUCAUUUAGUAUGUUGCAAGGAAGUUGUCAGAUAGAACUCAUGUAAGUGCAUUGUAAUUUAUAAUUGAGUUAUUUUAUUUCAUUUUUUUGGGUUUUCAUAAACAGAGAUAAAUCCCUUGAGACCCCAAGAUUUUAUUAUUUUUGAAUGACCAAUAUGUUUUUCUUUAUGUAUGAGAUAAUUUCUGCACUCUUUUACUCAAAGAAUGAGUAAAAGAGUGUGUUCAGACUUGUUGUCUAGUAAGAAUGAGUAAAAGAGUGUGUGAGAGAGUGUGUUUCAGAAGGCUGAAUUUCAGCACUAACUGCCAUAACAUGCAGAGCUCUGUAUGGGUAUUUUUGAAUACAUCUGUCUAUAUAAUACACAUACACACACACACACACACACACACACAUAUAUAUAUAUAUAUAUAUAGUUCCAUCCCCUCUCUCCUUGUUUCUCUAUUGUCCAUUUGUAACACCUUGAUUUGGUCUCCCUCUCCACAUAGCACUUGAAAUGUGGGUUAUUGUUGUUGUUGAUUAUUGAUUAUUGUUGUGCUGCAAUGAGAAGCAAUCAGGCAAAGGGAGAGAGCAGAGCAACCAGGCAAGGGUAUCCAUUGUACUCACUCAAAAGAGUAUAAUAAUACAAAAAAUAAAAUAAAAUGAUAUACCACUUUGAUCACAUGUUUUUCUGCUUCAAUGUCAUGUGCUGGUUGAAAGGCAUUUGCAAGGUCUCUUGCACUCUCUUCAUCCAUGGACACUACUUAUUUUUAAUCCUUACAUAGAAGACCAAUAGUAAAAAUCAAAUAGUAAUAUAUAUAUAUAUAUAUAUAUAUAUAUCAAAACAUAUCUUUUGUUUCAAGAGUAACAUAUUAAACAGAUUAUUGAAGUGUAGUCUUAGGGACCCCUGUUUUCAUAGUGAAAAUCAAUUAGGGGGUUGAGUUGUAAUUAUGUUCAUGUCUUUUUCUUCCUUUCCUUUCUUCUAUCUUAUGAUUAUGAUAAUAAUAAUAAUAAUAAUAUUAGUAGUGUCAAAAUGUUUUAUGAUACUGAUGAGUUAUUAUGCUAUUGAUGAAAUAUUGCUCACUUGCUUUUAUCUUUCCUUUUGUGACAUAAAAUAGUCUUGCAACAAAGAAUCCUAAACUCCAUACAUCAUGUAAUUAUUUUGUGACACAAACUAUUUUGCACACAAACAGAUACUUUAUUAGGAAGAGGUACGUAAUCACACUUCAUUUUUUUUUUUUUUUUUUUUUUUUUUUUUAAAUUUAUUUUGUACAAUGUUAAAAAAAAUUUAGAAGAUAAAAAAAGAGUCAUAAUGCAUUGUUUCUUUAGUUAAAAGAAUGUUGAGAAAAGAGGGAUCUCCUUCCAAAGUAGAGUUGAAAGAAAACUAUUGUUGUACAAAUAAGUACACACAUGUUUCUCUUGGAAUCCAACAUUGAUAAAACCAUCUAUUCAAAAUCCAGCCAUUUAUAUCUAUUUAUUUAUACUUUAAUAAUAAAUGACUCAAAUAUACAAUGAUAAGCAAAGUCAUUACAUGCAAGGGUGUCAAUUCUAUUAUGUCUCCUAUUGUUCAUAUUACUACUCCUACCACCACCCAUCAUCUCCUCUUCUACAUUCUUCUUCUUCUUCUUUACAAAUUCUCUAAUAUGCAUAAAGAAAAUAAAAUAAAAUAAAAACAACAACAACAACUCCUUCAUUCCAUACUCAAUGUAUAAAUCUAUAUUUAAACACACACAUGUUUGUGCACAAAAUUAGGGUUGUUUGAACAUAGUCACUGCUGCAUCUUGGGAUUCUUUCCUGCCUCACCAAGCUUACAAAAAUGGGCUAAACUUGGGCACAUGGAGGACCAAGUAACCCCCUAAGAAUUUAGGGUUUAGGGUCUGUCAACUGUUGAGAGCACUGAUCAGCUAACAAAAAAACGAGCCAUGUGGGACUCUUCAUGUCAACCAAAUCAGGAUAUGCAUACAAACAAAUACCAGAAGAUUUGCAUGCACAAGGGAAGAUUUGCUACUCCAAUGCAUGCCUUGUGUUACACACACUGAUAUCUUCCAUCUAAAUAAAAACAGUGAUAAAAUUAUAAAGUGAAAGUUCAAACCACGGACUGUAUCCAUCACAAAUAAAGGGUGCAUGCCACUGCUUCAUUAAACUGGAACCUUGACCCAACUCCCCACUGCCAUAUUUUAGGGUUUAUUUGACACAGCCAGUGUGUGAGUGUGUGUGUGUGUG